CAAAGACCUUCAGCUUGCAGAAUUUGCUCUUCCUCCAGCGAGGCUCACCUUUUCAUGUUAAGGCUUUCAACUAAUUAGAUGAGACCUACCCACACUAUGGAAGUAGUCAUGGACACUAGUGUAGGUCGUUGGAUUUUCAAUGGUCUUGCCUGAAGCUUCAGUCAUGUCUCUAGACACUGAGAAGGAAGCACACUGAAUAAGGAGAUCCCAAUGCCAAAGGCAAUGAAAAUGACCACACAUGUCAGUAAGAAGCCAAGCCCUGGACACACCUCCUACACAAGCACCUGUGCAUAGAGAACUUCCUCAGGCCCUCCAGAAAUUAGGAGUUCAUCCUCAUGAGAGGGCCAGACUUUGUAAGCCUGUCAUACAGAGAAAAAUAAUUCUUGACAAAUGUUAUACAUAUGUCUCAUUUCAUUUAUGUUGAUAUAACAAAAUAUCUGGGACUGGGUAAUUUAUAAAGGAAAGAAAUUUAUUUCUCCUAGUUCUGGAGGUUUAGAAGGUCAAGGCACCAGAUGUUUCAACUGCCUUCUACAGACAGGAACAAAGCUGUGUGUGAGAAAGACGGAAGAGCAGGAGAACAAAAGUUACAUGAAGCCUUUUCUUUUGCAACUGUAAUCCCAUUUAAGAGGAAGGAGCCCUCCUGAUCUGAUCACCUCUUAGAGGCCACACCUCCUAAAUCUAUCACUUUGGCAAUACCUGAAUUUCGGAGCAGACACACUCAAACCAUAGCAACGUAGAAUCAGCAAAUCAACAGAUGACCGCGUAUUCUUACGUUAAGAAAACAAACAAACCAAAACUUUUUUCUUUUCAGAGCAACAGGGGAACAGAAGCCAAAGACGGUGAUGACAACGCAUACUAUGUUUCUUUUAUUUCAUCCAUAGCUUUUCGGACCAGAAUUCUGCUCUUCCCAUAAAGGAAGAGUGAAAAAAGUUAAGGUUAUGGGUUUACAUUUUACAUAGAUAAUAUUAACCCUUAUUACCAUAAACUAAAAUCUCUUACUAAUCAAAAUUAUAUAAACAAUUAUUGGAAUCAGACUAAGACAGCAAUAAAAAAGACUCAUUUUUUAAUCAGAAAAAGAGUGAUUUAGUGGAGCAUAAUUCAUAUCUGUUACUGCACAUAUAAGACCAAAUCAUAUUCAUAUCAAGUUGAUUUUUUGGAACAAAUUUAUUUUUUGAUUUAUUGGCUUUAUGGAUAUGUAUGUACAUAGAUGUGUGUGUGAGUUAACCUUUUUUCUUUUCUUUUCUUUCUUUUUUUUUUUCUUUUUGAAACAAAGUCUCACUCUUUUGCCCAGGCU
rnacentral:lncRNA from 10 species